CGCUUUAUUUCCAUCCCGCUUACGUCAGCGCCCAGCUGGGUCCGGCAUGGUCUGACUGGUCAUUGGGGCUUGCCGCUAUGUGGGGCGGCAGAUCGCCUCGGCUCUGCGUCGGGACGACCCUGGGGCGCCCCUGCCCCCCAGCCGGCGCAGGGACCUCGGUGACAAGAAGGAUGUAACCCCCCGGCCAGUGGUGGCUCUAUUGGACUCUGUCCCGCCGGGGCGCACUCCCCUGCUCCCAGCAGAACGGGGGGCACCGGGGCGGCCCUCCUGAGGCUCAUGGUGGGGAUAGCAAGGGGCAAAUGACGGUUCAUCUGGCAACUCCCAGAGUCGUGGGCAGCAGAUGGACCUGAGACACCAACCCCCCCCCGACCCCACUGUACCCCAAAAAGGAAUUCAGAAUAAAGAGGUUUUGGAGGCCACGCUGCAAAGGA